UAGAUAUUGCUUUGAAUUGGUGACCUUUA
rnacentral:piRNA from 1 species